rnacentral:RNase_P_RNA from 1 species
CAGGGAUGAGAGAAAGUCCGGGCUCCUUCGGAAAAAAUGCCGGGUAAUAACCGGGCACAAAUUGGUAGCUGUAUUUGUAUACAUAGCCCAAAAUGUGACAGAUAGUGCAACAGAAAGUAUACCGCCUGGAAACAGGUAAGGGUGAAAUGGUGGUGUAAGAGACCACCGCAUAAAUGGUAACGUUUAUGGCAGGUAAACCUCAUUUGGAGCAAGAUUAAGUAGCAGUUAUGUCUUUCCGAACAAUACUGCGGGUAGAUCGCUAGAGUCAAAUAGCAAUAUUUGAUGCGGAUAGAUGGUUAUUACUAUUUUACAGAUUUUCUGUUUAAUAGCAGACAGAACCCGGCUUAUUAUUCCAUC